AGCUAACCGCACAGAGGUAAGGGUGUCACUUUCUCGUAGGCUGGAGUGCAGUGGUGUGAUCAUGGCUCACUGCAGCCUCAACCUCCCUGGACUUAGGUGAUCCUCCCGUCUCAGUCGCUGGAGUCACUGGGACUACAGGCACGCACCACUACUCCCAGUUAAUUUUUUUUGUAUUUUUUGUAGAGUUUCUCUACGUUGCCCAGACUGGUCUCAAACACUUUGGCUGGAGAUCCGCCUGACUCGGCCUUCUGAAGUGCUAAGAUUACAGGCGUGAGCCGCCAUACCUGGUCGCUGUUUCAUAUUAUAUAUGCAAGAAGUAGAGAAAUCAAAUCUAAUAAAAAUAAAUGGACCUCAGUUCACUUUUGGACAGCAGAAAAAGCAAACUGUGGAAAGCAGAAUUCUACAAUGGCACGCUGGUUCCCACCCCUUGGUGUACAUGCUCUGCAUGAAGUGAGCAGGACCUGUGAAUAUAAUGGGAUAAUCACUCCUGUGAUUACAUUAUGUUAUAUGAUUCCAUUCCCCUCCUGGCUUUGAAGAAGUGAGCUGCCAUGUCAUGAGAACACCAGGUGGCUAGGACCUGAAGAUAGCCUCUAAGGAGCUGAGGAUGUCACCCUGCUGACAGCCAGCAAGGAAAUGGGUACCUCAGUCCUAUAGCUGCAAGGAAUUGAAACCUGCCAACAACCUGAAUGAACUUGGCAGAGGACUCUGAGCUUGUGAUGAGAACACAUCCCCAGCUUGAAAUCAAAUCGACAUAUUGAUUUUAGCACUGUGAGAUACUGAGCUGAGAACACAGUUCAGCUGUUCCUGGACUUCAGAACCACAGAACUGAGAUGAUAAAUGAGUGGUGUUUCAAGUUGCUAAGUUUGUGGUCAUUUGCUUACAGUAAUUGUAAACUAAUACACAAGUGUAAGUUUGUUUUCUUAAAGAAGAAAAAAACGGGGAAGGAGGUAAGUGUUAAAGGAUCAAAACUCUGACAAAAGGCUGGUUGCAGAACAUGACAGGUUGUUGCACUGGAAACUAUUUGUCAUGCAAGUUUAUGUUAAAAUAAGUAGCUUUUGAGGACUUUCAUUUUUGGUCUUGUAAACAUGCCAUUUAAUAUUGUCCAACUGAUAAUACUUUUUGCAAACAGAAACUGUUAAAACCUUUAAAGCAAAUAUUACUGUAGAGAAGAAGUAAUGUGUUAUGAAACUGUGAGGAUACUAAGAAGGAUCCUACUUAAGUUUCUUCAGCAUAAAUAAACUUGAGCGUUUCGACCACUGUUA
rnacentral:lncRNA from 1 species